CCUAAAUGUCAAACCCUGAACCCCAAUUUUUCAUAUCAUAUUUCCUCAUCUGUAAAUUGGGUGUUUAAUUUGUGAUCAGUUGAGUUUCAGAGUUGUGAGGUUAAUUGAGGAAAAAGACGAGGAACAUGUCAAGCAUUCCAGAAGAGAUUUACCUCCAAAUCUUGUUAAGAGUAUCAGUGAAAUCAACAUUCGUAUGUAAGCGUGUUUGUAAAACUUGGUUUUCGUUGAUUUCUGAUCUGGGUUUUGCUAAUAUGCAUCUUGAUUUUACUCCCUAUAGAAAUAUCUCUGAGAAUCUAAUGGCAACUGGUCUUUUAUAUGAUUUUAUUGUAAUCCACUCUAUAAAAUACGAUUCAUUACAACCAUCUUUGUGGGAGAAGAGUGAAUUCACUGAAAUGUCUUACCCGUAUGAAGCACUUUAUAAAAUUAGAUUAUUAGGUUCUUGUAACGGUCUGGUUUGCCUUGUGUAUACUGGUCGUGGUGAGGAAUUUUUCUUUUGUGUUUGGAACCCAGCCACACGCGGAUACAAGAAGAUAAACAAACCAGAAGAUAAAUUUCGUAUCUGGGAUACCAGAAUGUAUGCUUUUGGUUAUGAUUUCAAGAAUGACGAUUACAAAUUGGUAUUAGGUGUAGGUAACAAUGAAACUGGUACUGCAGUCCAUGUCUACACAUUAAAAUCUGAUUCAUGGAAAUGCACUAUCACCAUACAGUAUUAUUUUUUUUUCUCCUCGGAAAUCUGGUGUACUUGUUAAUGGAGAUUUUCAUUUCCUUGCUGCCGAUAGAGGGGAAGGGGCGUGCUUAUAGUUUCAUUGGAUAUCAGUGCGGAAAGAUUCAAAGAAGUGGCAAGGUGACUGAAACUUGGGAUAUUGCUACUGAAGCAGUGUUGCAAGGUUGCCUAUGUGUGCUCCUCCCACCCAAACCUAAUAGUGUUGCUGAUGAUUAUUAUCCUGGUCAUGUUGAACUAUGGGUUAUGCAAGAUUAUGGUGUUCGUGAAUCUUGGACUAAGCGUUAUAUCAUUACCCAUGAAUUAAUAACUGGGCAUAGGGACUAUUUUUUUAGGUUUAUAUCAUCUUCCAAGAAUGGUGAGAUUCUAUUAAUGGUGGAGGGUAAGUUAGUUUUAUAUGACCUAAAAGAUGGAAGUGCUAUCAGCCGAGAUAUGGGUAGUAGAACCGUUAGUACCGAGGUGAAUUAUAUUGAAAGCUUAGUUUCCGUUAACUCUGUUACUUAUGUGGGGGAAGGACAGAUAGAGGAAUCAAUUGAAACAGAAGUAGCCUAAGAAGAAAAACAUGAGAAUGUGUUCUUACGGUAAGAUAUAAUUCACGCUUUAUAUUUCCAGUGUUCAUUUCUAGUUUUAGAAACUAUAGGUAUUAGGUAUGUAGCUUGUAAUGGGUAUGAAAAUUGUGUUUUGUAUCCAAUGUCUUAAGUAGUUAGUAUCCAUACACAGAAAUUCUGGUUAAUUUCUGAACUUAAUGACUCGGGUUCUGUGAUUGCAGUUUUAGUUCUCACUGUUAACGUCAUCCUGUGAACUGUUCUAUAGUUACCAAGUAAUAAGGAAUGAUACACUUUUCUCUUUUUCUAGUACUAACUAGGAGACUUUGGUUAGGCAUAAUGUAUUACACGACCAAAUUCAUGAUUUCAACAGCCAAGAACUGAACCUCCAAGUCUUUCUCUGACCAGUCGUUUAUCAGGAUUUAUCUCCAUGGUCUUCUUGUUAGACAUGUGAGAACUCAUGUUGCUUCCCCUCAAAGGUUGUGCUUGUGCUCUCAUAAUUCUCUCCAUGCUGUCGGUCCUUGCCCCCUUUUUUUUACUCACCAAGCAACAAGGAGAAUAAGUAUUUUUGACAGCAACGGCAACCAUCUCAACUUAUCAGCAAAUCUGAAGUGUCCAUGUUUGUGAACUGUAGAGGGAAAGAAUCCUCUCGGUGGCGAAGUAGAGCAUAGGAACAGAGUGAAGCAAUAGAUCAGGUAUCAGCUGACAAAACUAUGAAAACACCUGAGGAAGAAGCCAUUAUGGGUUCAGAGAGACAAGGAAUGUGACAAAAACUUUGAUUAGGAUGCCUCAGUAAACCCAUUAUCAGCCGAAGUGUGAGUUAAGAAGACGGUAAAUUUCCCAAACUUCAAAAUGAUUCCGACAGCUCCAAGGUAACUUCAAGUAUGGAAAUUUACUGGAAGAGCUCGGGGCACGAAGAAUCCAUCAUCAUUGCAACUACGAUUUUUCCUCUCAAGAAGCAGCGAAAUUUGAUUUUUUUGAGUUGGGAUGGUGCUACUAUUUUGGGUCGAUACGAGUGUUCUGUCCACUGUGUUUGUUAUUCCACAUAAAUUACUUUGGAUGAUCCAGCAUCUGUGGCAGAGCUUAUGGAUGCUAGUGAAGGAUGUAUCGGAAGUGCCUUGAAAUGGGUUUAUAAGCUCUGCACCUGCAAGUUUAGCGAAGAUCUGAAUCAUGACAAGUUUAGCUUAGCUAGGGAAGCUGUGUAAUAAUUCGGGUGGAAGAGGAAAUCUGCGAUGCUGCAAGCUAUUUUUGCAUAUGACUAACUAGGUUGAACCAGUUUGGUCAGGAACUAUGAAGAAAUUGGUUGAUGAUGUAUUUAUGUUCAUAGAAUGAACCUGUUGAUAGCAGCAGAGAGUUGGAAAAGUCUGGGAUCUGAUUCCGGAAGAAUUUGUUUGGGAAGGGGCGUAAACACAAGUUGUGGAUGAGAGUUAUGGGUCUGGCAGGAGGAGUUCAGAUCAGCCACAAUUGUAUGGUUUUUGUUGCUGUUUUCACUGUUUUUUUUUACAAGUUUCGUCCUGACUCCAGAAGUUGACACUGAUUCAUUUUAUACUGACAAUCAUGAAACUUGGAUCUUCCACUGCAUUAGUGGUUCCUUUGGUUGUUGUGUCUUCUGUGCUUAGAAGUGACUUUAAGUGAGCAGAAUUGUGAAACUUUUUGUUUUCUUA